AUGGAUGAGGGGUUGUGCUGUCAAUUUUCGAGGUUGUGGGGUGUUUACUUUUGCUGUUUUGUCCGCUGCCAUCACUCUUUUAUAUAUAUAGAUUGCCCUCCCAACCCUGCUCUACGCCUGCGAAACGUAGACAGUCUACAGACGUCACACCCAACUCCUGGAGCGUUUCCAUCAGCGUUGCCUCAGGAAAAUCCUGCCAAUCUCUUGGGAAGACAGGCGGACAAAUGUCAGCGUGCUUGAGGAAGCAAAGACCACCAGCAUUGAAGCGAUGCUCCUACGCCAUCAACUCCGCUGGACUGGCCACGUUGUCCGAAUGCCCAAAGAUCACCGUCUCCCAAAGCA
rnacentral:lncRNA from 11 species